rnacentral:rRNA from 1 species
GACAGCAGCAGCCACGGGAAUACGGAGGAUCCGAGCGUUAUCCGGAAUUAUUGGGUUUAAAGGGUGCGUAGGCGGAUAGAUAAGUCAGUGGUGAAAGACGGUGGCUCAACCAUCGCAGUGCCGUUGAUACUGUUUAUCUUGAAUAUGGAUGAGGUAGGCGGAAUGUGGCAAGUAGCGGUGAAAUGCAUAGAUAUGCCACAGAACACCGAUUGCGAAGGCAGCUUACCAAGGCAAAAUUGACGCUGAGGCACGAAAGCGUGGGGAUCGAACAGGAUUAGAUACCCCAGUAGUCCCUGUCUCUUAUAC